rnacentral:tRNA from 1 species
GUUUGUAAAGCUAAAACGUAGCGUCGGUCUUGUAAACCGGAAGUUGAGAAAUUUCUCUACAAACU